AAACUCUUUGAGUUUUGAGUUUAUUGAGUACUCACCGUUCUCUCCGUAGCUUUCUGGUCGGUCCUCGUGGAUGUAGGGAAUCUCAUCCAUGCGGAGGAACACCGCAUCGUUCGGACUCCUCUGCCCGUCAGAUUUACUGCCUGUGAGGAAGAGUUCAGAGUAACGGACCUGAUGCAAGCAACCGUGGCACAUUAGUCGCUCUGCCUAUAGAGGGAGGCAGAGAACUUCAGUGUUUCUAUAUGGUCCAAUCUGAAGUAAAACUCAAAUAAAGCAGCGGCCGAAUUUAAGAUUAAAACCAACCUCAGAUUAGCUACAACCAGCAAAUCCGCUGUGAUUAAACUUUAAACCUGCCAAUGUGUGUGUGUGUGUAUAUAUAUGUAUAUAUAUAUACACACACACACACUAUAAUGCUGUAAACUAUUCUUACUGGCAACCAAUGGAACCAUCUGUGCAGACAUUUUUCUCAAUGACACAAACAGACACACAAACCGGUUGGCGUGUUACGCACAGCGUACAGACAGAUGGUAGGUGGGAAAUCAUUUAAGCCUUGAAACCAUUUCAGAUUGUCUGAUGCCACAUUUGCACCGGUUUUGAGUGUGUCACCAUACAUGAGUCAUUCCUCACUUAGUGGAAGAAAAAUAACUCCAACAAUGCCAUCUUUACCUUGCAUGCUGUGUACAGACUUUAACUGGUGGGAUAACGUACAUUUCUUUAAAUUCCCACGUUUAAUUUCUAUGUAAUUUCACACUAGGUGGUGUAAUCUUCUCAUAGAGGACAGUAUUUAAUGUGUCGCUUCUUUAACUUGCUUUGCUCUCUCAUUCACAGUGUUGGCACGAGUGUCUGGAGGAUUUUAAUGCUCUCAAAUCCCUCUUCAAAAGUGGGUCUCCAACACCCUAAUGAGCCCUGAGAGUCACAUCAAGCCUCGUGGAGUUGCCGUACGUCAUCAUUUUACAUUUCAGGGAUUAAAAGAGAGGAACACUUACAUGUAACUAAAAGCAUUUAUGUUUGUCACCUUGAUGAUCUGCAGAUCCGUUAGCUGACGGACCGAGUAGUCUGGUCUGUCUCAUCCACAAUCUCCGACUUGAUGAUCUCCUCUAUGACGUCCUCCAGCGUGACGAUGCCCAUCACUUCAUAGAAGGGGUCUCCCUCGCCUUCGCUGUUCACCCUCUGCACCACAGCCAGCAGCAAGACAAAGACAAACUGCUGAUUGACUGACUGACUGACAGGCCUCCGGAACCAAUACAUGGCGCUCUGGCCCGGGAUGGCGAGGUCGCAUCCAGAGCUCGGGGGGGCAGCUUGUCUGAAUAGCUCAGACCUCACUCCCGCCUAUCACCCUUCUCGGUGAGACAUCCUCACAGCUUCUAGCCAGACUUCCUGAACAGCGGGAGCCUUUAAUCCACAAGAGCCAAAUAGGAAGGAGACGAGAGGGGAAGGGAAAGGUUGGAGCUGAAUUUUUCAUGGUUGCUCUGCAGGCUAGGAUGGCGAUGUCCUGCAGAGUGGAAGGGACUUCAAAGUCGCAGUGGGAGGACAAUUAAGCGCCCGCAAAUAAUGCAAAGGUGAAGCCGGCCUCACCUUUUCACCUCACCUACAAAUAACACACAAACAAUGUGGAGACGCUGUGGAAGCCGUGGGUUACAUGCGAGUCCGUGGAUCACCAAAGCCAUCUUUUUCAUUUCUGAACAACAUGAAACGGUAGGCCGCUUGACCUGAAAAUGUGGCCAGCUAAUUGAUGUCAGCUGCUGCCUGACGUCCAUUGGGCUCCUUUUGUCAAUGAAACACAUUUACAUCUUAACCAGCACAACAUGGACCAACGUUAAUAAAAAUCUUUACAUAACAGUUGUGCCGAUAGCUUGUGUCUCCAUUUCACCCUCAGUGGAGCAUUCUGCUCUGUUUGCUGCAGAGCAUCGAUCCUGCAUCAUAUCAAGUGUCAUCGUCGAGACUGAAUGGGGUCCCCAGAAGGAGGCCUUUGCUUGAUAGUGAACAGAUGCUAUCGCCACAUGUGUAUUAGAGUCAGAGCACUGUAAUACUGUCACUUAGGCACUUAUCACCAGAGACUGUUAUCAGACAAGAUGAAUGAGUCAGAGAGAGAAAGAAGGACUAUUCAUUUCCUCCACCACCAGUGCAGGCAAAAUCUUGCACAAUUCCCUUCUGAUACGGUUCAAGUUUACAUUAAAGUGUGGAACUGUUAACUGACGCGCAUGUUGAGGAGAACCGAGCAUGAGUGUUUGGGCCAGAUGAAGUUCUCAGCGUUGUCAUGGGAAAAUGACUUAAAUCUCUCUCAUCACAUAAAUUCUUAAACAUAACCUCACUCUUGGUCCUUGGUAGCCUCUAACCUCUGGCUGAACCAAACUCACUGUGUGACACAGUAUCAGAUUCCACAUAUGGCUCUCACUGCUCUGGGGAUCAAAGGGCUUUACUGGCAGGCUCACUUUGAGCCAAUGGACUGAUGUAUACAUUGACUUCUGCUCUGAAAAUGUAGUUUUUAAGUGCACAGUCACUUCAAAGGACAUUUAACUCCUAGGUGGCAGGAGGUUGCCUUGAGACUGGUCCAAAACAUGUGGUGCCUCAUAUUUUCAAGACUGACUUCUUCCUCAUAAGCCAUGACGAAGUUCUAAAAAGCAAAGGAUACAAAAGGAAUGACCAGAUCUCUGGUGCCAUUUUAAAGGGAGUGCAAUCGUCUGGAUCUACGAAGGCCAGGUCUUUCACGAACAGGAUGUCCACGAUGUUGGAUCUCUCGUUCUCGUAGACGGGGAUGCGUGUGAAGCCGCUCUGCAUCACGUCAGACAUAGUGCAGAAGUCCAGCACGG